rnacentral:lncRNA from 1 species
UUCUUUAUUGUAAUAUUCUAAUUAUAAUCAAAAUAUAACACAACCCUUCACAAUUGUUACAUUUCACCCUUGACUACAGCAUCUUCUAAUCAAGUCUGAGGAAGUAAAAAAACUCUCCCCAGGAAAGCUCUGGUCAAGACUCGGAGUUUGUGUUUCUUUCUUUGUUGUGUUUCGUUUUCAACACUUUAUACUCAAUUACAUGCACAGAGCAUUCAUUCAAGAGAAAAUUUAAAACUCUGAAAACUUCUAAGUUGGGAGAGUUAUUAAGACAUAAAUAAUUUUGAACAUACAGAAGAUUAUGCAGUUCAAAAGGAUUAUCUAAUGAAGUCAUUCUUCAGAA